CUAUUUUACAUUUCCGGGUAUGUAAACCGGAUGUAGGGGUCUCUCAUUUCCGGUUAUCUUAACAGCCACCAAAACAAUGGCAGAGACGAAGAGCUUUUUUGUUUUGUAGCAUUCCCCUGUGUACCAAUUCGAAAAAUAAUUUAUUUGCCCUUUCACAGCUUUCCCACAGAUGUACUCCAAAAUAAGAAAAAAACUUGCUAGGUAGCAUGACUGUCAUAAUAUUACACUCGAUAUUAAACUUUUCUCCUCACAUACAUUUGGGUCUAAAUGUCUGAGUCCCCUACCAACUCCAUUGUUUUUUAUUUUUUUAUUUUAUUUUUUAUCAUUCAUUGAGAACUAACGCAGUUUCAGUCAUGUGGUACUUGUUACUCAAGAAUGUCAUAAAAUCUGUUAGCUAGCUAUAUUUUAUGUUAUGAUUAGCAAAUUGCGUUUUAGCCAGCUAGCUUGUUAGCAAGCACAUAUUUGGAUAUUCAGUGUUGAAACUGCAGAUGCACGUUUAUUUUAGUUGUUAAUUGCAAUUACAAAAUGUAUUGACGGACAUCGCGACAAGCCUACUUAAGAUAUAUAAGCUGAUUUAAAAAUUUGUGGGUAGUUUUUAUCAGCGAUGAAAACAAACUGCUCGGUAGUGAACUGAACACCGGCAUUACACAGGCGAUUUGACAAGCAAUAUAAAUCUUUAUUAGAACAAGUACAGCACAAACAACAUCUCACAAAAUAGUAACGGUAGUACAAAACUUAGUUCAGAGAUAUUUCACUUCGGUAUAAUAUAAGUAAUUUUGUGGAGCCUAACACAUUGUACUUACAUAGCUUUGCUUCCCCUGCUGACCGUCAUCGUUAACAGAAUCGCUUUUCCUCACAGCUGUCAGGCUCCCUAUUAAUUCAUUUUCGGGACAACCGAGAGGAACAGAGACGCUGUUAGCGGACAGCAGAUGUUGCUUUACGCUACAAAAACACAAUGGAGUCACCUCCAGAAAAUAAUGUUAUGUCGAAGUGAAAUAUCUCUUUAAUCGGCUAACUUGCUGUGGUUAGCAUGCUAGCUAUUUAUCUUUCUGGCGAACCAGAGCUAACGUUAUACUUACCUUCAUAACCGAAUAUAAACUUCUCAAAAAAUAAUUUAUAGCCCUUGUCUAGUUUAGACCGCUUAACGUUCACUGGCAAUGCUUCGACAAUGCAGAUAACAUCGGACAUAGUGAACUUUGGCAGAGCUAUUAGGGACUGUGGGAACACGUUGCUGUUUAGGCUCAAUUUUUCGCUGUCAGAAAUAGACUUGCGUCUGUAGCAACAGUAACCGGAAACAAAGUAUCCCUACAUCCGGUUUUGGUCGUCAUCUUGUGAAAUAGGCCUAUCUUCGCGGGACUUUAGACCAAUGUCUCUAUCUACAAUGGGCUGAAGGAACCUUUUAGUUCCUUGAAAAGUAGUUCUUGGGACUAAAAGUUCCGGGUACUUUUGGUGGAAACGCGGCUUUAGACAAUCCGUUUGUGAAAAAUACGCUUAUUUGUGAUGCCUGGGUACCUUCCAAAAUAUCUGUGCAUAAUACCACACAUGUUGUUCAUGGUGUUGUCAUCCUUUGUAGUACAGUCUGGCUUGAUCGCCAAUUAAUCUAUCCAAUAGGUGACAGAAUAAGCUUUCUAACGAUGCAUAAUAUGUAAAAUUUUACUUUUGGAAUAGCAUUUUAUAGCUCAGCGUAACCAAAAGUUUUGUCUGCAUUACGCAUUAAUUCUCUCGUAGUGAAAUUUUAUUGAUGACUGCUGAAAAAUAUUUUGUUUGUAUAUGUUAUUUUUUAAAUUGAUAGGUUACUGGUAUUUUAUGAUGAGGGUACAGUUGAGGCCAAAAGUUUACAUACACCUAGGCUAAAGAUAUUCAAACUCAGUUUUUCACACAUUUCAUGUUACCAUACAUUUCUUUUGGCAAGUCAAUUUGGGCAUCUACUUUGUUCACAUCAGAGGUAAUUUUAAAACAAUCGAUUAGAGACAGACAGUUGACUCUCUCUUUAAACAGUCUGGAAGAUUUCUGACAUUGAUGUAAUGACUUUUUAGAAAUUCUGAUUUGGUCAUUUGUCAUAAUUAGGAGUUAACUGGCACCUGUGGCUGUAUUUAACUGAAGACAAGAACAAAGAAACUGGUGAAGGAGUUGGAGGCAUCAGGUACCAAAGUAUCUACAUCCACUAUUAAGAGAAUCCUACAUUGCCAUCGCCUAAAAGGCUGUCCCGCAAGGAAGACACCCCUACUCCAAGAAAGGUAUAAAAAAGCCAGAAUGAAGUUUGCAGGUAAUCACUAAGACGAAGAACUAGCCUUUUGGAGGAGUGUUCUCUGGUCAGAUUAAACAAAAAUGUAACUGUUUGGCUAUAAUGAUCAGCACUAUGUAUGGAUGGAAAAGGGUGAGGCUUUUAAACCGAAGAACACCAUCCCAACUGUGAAGCAUAGGGGUGGCAGCAUCAUGUUGUGGGGGUGUUUUGCUGGAAAAGGGACUGAUGCACUUCAGAAAAUAGAGGGCAUCAUGAAGGAGGAUUAUCUAGAAAUACUGAAGCCACAUCUCAAGACAUCAGCUAGAAAGUUAAAACUUUGUUGCAAUUGGGUCUUCCAGCAGUACAGUGGUCCUAAGCAUACCUCCAAAGUUGUAACAAAAUGUCUUAAAGACAACAAAGUGAAAGUAUUGAAGUGGCCAUCACAAAGCCCUGACCUGAAUCCCAUAGAAAAUUUGUGGACUGAACUGAAAAAGCAUAUCUGAGCAAGGAGGCCGACAAACCUGACGAGUUAUACCAGUUCUAUCUUGGAGUAGGGGCUUCUUCCUUGCGCGACAGCCUUUUAGGCGAUGGCAAUGUAGGAUUCUCUUAAUGGUGGAUGUUGAUACUUUGGUACCUGAUGCCUCCAACUCCCUCACCAGUUCAAAUUAAACAAUAGGAGUGCGCUGCGUGGGUCCACAAUCAUGCCGAACGAGAAUCAGGUGCUCUUUGGAAUGGGCUAGUUAAAUAGCAAUAAACGGGUUUAAGUUCCUUUCAUUGUAGAAAAACACAUGAAGAGUAGGCUACUGUAGGAGAACUUUAAGUUUUU